rnacentral:rRNA from 1 species
AACGAACGCUGGCGGCAGGCUUAACACAUGCAAGUCGAGCGCCCCGCAAGGGGAGCGGCAGACGGGUGAGUAACGCGUGGGAACGUACCCUUCGGUUCGGAAUAACUCAGGGAAACUUGGGCUAAUACCGGAUACGUCCGUGAGGAGAAAGAUUUAUCGCCGAAGGAUCGGCCCGCGUUGGAUUAGCUAGUUGGUGGGGUAAUGGCCUACCAAGGCGACGAUCCAUAGCUGGUCUGAGAGGAUGAUCAGCCACACUGGGACUGAGACACGGCCCAGACUCCUACGGGAGGCAGCAGUGGGGAAUAUUGGACAAUGGGCGAAAGCCUGAUCCAGCCAUGCCGCGUGAGUGAUGAAGGCCCUAGGGUUGUAAAGCUCUUUCAGUGGGGAAGAUAAUGACGGUACCCACAGAAGAAGCCCCGGCUAACUUCGUGCCAGCAGCCGCGGUAAU